UACGGAGGGGGCUAGCGUUGUUCGGAAUCACUGGGCGUAAAGGGCGCGUAGGCGGCCUGGUAAGUAGGGGGUGAAAUCCUGCGGCUUAACCGCAGGGCUGCCUUCUAAACUGUCAGGCUCGAGCACGGUAGAGGCAGAUGGAAUUCCCGGUGUAGCGGUGGAAUGCGUAGAGAUCGGGAAGAACAUCAGUGGCGAAGGCGGUCUGCUGGGCCGUUGCUGACGCUGAGGCGCGACAGCGUGGGGAGCAAACAGG
rnacentral:rRNA from 1 species